GACGGAGGAUGCAAGCGUUAUCCGGAAUGAUUGGGCGUAAAGCGUCUGCAGGUGGCAGUUCAAGUCUGCUGUCAAAGACCGGGGCUUAACUUCGGAAAGGCAGUGGAAACUGAACAGCUAGAGUAUGGUAGGGGCAGAGGGAAUUCCGUGGUGUAGCGGUGAAAUGCGUAGAGAUCAGGAAGAACAUCGGUGGCGAAGGCGCUCUGCUGGACCAUAACUGACACUCAGGGACGAAAAGCUAGGGGAGCAAACGGG
rnacentral:rRNA from 1 species